rnacentral:rRNA from 1 species
GUAUCCUACGGGGGGCAGCAGUGGGGAAUAUUGCACAAUGGGGGAAACCCUGAUGCAGCGACGCCGCGUGAGCGAUGAAGUAUUUCGGUAUGUAAAGCUCUAUCAGCAGGGAAGAAGAUGACGGUACCUGACUAAGAAGCCCCGGCUAACUACGUGCCAGCAGCCGCGGUAAUACGUAGGGGGCAAGCGUUAUCCGGAUUUACUGGGUGUAAAGGGAGCGUAGACGGCGAUGCAAGCCAGGAGUGAAAGCCCGGGGCCCAACCCCGGGACUGCUCUUGGAACUGCGUGGCUGGAGUGCAGGAGGG